rnacentral:ribozyme from 1 species
UCUAUGGUGCUCAAGUUCACAGCUUGAGUCGGUCAGGGACAGUUCCGUCUCGCUUCAUCGCACCAUGGUGUCGUGAGGUGACCUGGCACAAAGGUAACGCCUUGGAUCCACGAAGUUACAGCGAUCUGAUGCAAGACAUGGAUGGCAUAAUCUUCUCAGUGGGGACUCUCUUUGACUCAACUAUCCCCUUCUC